rnacentral:RNase_P_RNA from 1 species
UGAGUAAGCCAGAUGAUCGCACAGGCAACUGUGAGGAAAGUCCGAGCUCCGUAGAGCAGGGUGCUGGGUAAUACCCAGUGGAGGCAACUUCAAGGAUAGUGCAACAGAGAGAUACCGCCUGAUUUAUCAGGUAAGGGUGGAAAGGCGAGGUAAGAGCUCACCAGCAUGCAGGUGACUGCAUGGCUAUGUAAACCCCACCUGGAGCAAGACCAAGCAGGGAUAUAAAAGAGCGGCUGCUCGUCGCUUCCCGUAGGUAGGUCGCUAGAGCCCGGAUGGCAACAACGGGCCCAGAUAGAUGAUCGUCUAAUACAGAACUCGGCUUAUAGGUUUGCUCACAAC